rnacentral:tRNA from 2 species
AAGACAUUAGUAAAAUACGCAAAUUACACCACCUUGUCGAGGUGGAAUCGCAGGUUAAACCCCUGUAUGUCUUA